rnacentral:rRNA from 1 species
UACGGAAGGCAGCAGUGGGGAAUAUUGCACAAUGGGCGAAAGCCUGAUGCAGCUAUGCCGCGUGUAUGAAGAAGGCCUUAGGGUUGUAAAGUACUUUCAUCGGGGAGGAAAAAAACAAAAACUAAUAAUUUUAUUUCUUGACGUUACCCGAAAAAGAAGCACCGGCUAACUCCGUGCCAGCAGCCGCGGUAAUACGGAGGGUGCUAGCGUUAAUCAGAAUUACUGGGCGUAAAGAGCACGUAGGUGGUUUUUUUAAGUCAGAUGUGAAAUCCCUGGGCUUAACCUAGGAACUGCAUUUUGAAACUGAAAUACUAGAGUAUCGUAGAGGGAGGUAGAAUUCUAGGUGUAGCGGUGAAAUGCGUAGAUAUCUGGAGGAAUACCUGUGGCGAAAGCGGCCUCCUAAACGAAUACUGACACUGAGGUGCGAAAGCGUGGGGAGCAAACAGGGAUUAGAUACC